rnacentral:lncRNA from 1 species
AGGUGUCGAUUUAUCCCAAUAAAGGCAGUUAUAGCUAUCUGAGAGCUUAUGAUCUUAUUUCUUCAAUCAUAUUUCUUUGAGUUAUAUUUUUUUUAAAACAUAAUUUCUUAAAUUAUACAUGCAUAAAAUCUUAAAUAAAUUUAGAGCAAUUCAACAAUUUUCAUAGAAUUUAUAAUUCAUAGUUGGAUCAUAUAUAUAUAUAUAUCAUUGUAGUACCAAAAUAUACUUUUUACAAU